rnacentral:lncRNA from 1 species
AGGUCCGUUGUCAUCUCUGUGUAAUACAAACAGUCUGAAUUUCUGUAUAAAGGAUACACUAUUCAACAAGAUGGCUUCAUUUUCCCCAGAGGAAGAAAAUUAUGUUAGAAUGAGUUUAUUGCUGACAGGAAUUUCUCCACGUGCAGUUAGAGCCUUAUUUGAUAGUGAAUUCCACCCAUCAUGUUUGGACUCUACAUUGAAGAAGGCAUACAACAAACUGAUUGACUUAAAAAAGAAACAUGUAAUAAAUAUAGCACAGUGGAACCUUCUAAUGACUCGUUUUCCUGGUAAGUUCAAAGCCUUUUAAUUGAUUGGUUAUUUCAUUCCAAUCUAUAUCAACCAAACCAUGAGUAAAUUUAAAUUUUGUGAUCUGAACUGUUAUGUCUAAGACAACAAACAAUCUUCAUACAAAAUGGGAUUAGUUUUUUUUUACAGGUUUCACUUUAUGAUAUGCUAGUCACAAUUAUCUCGUCUUUUUUUACCUACAGUGCACAAAGGGCCAUGUUAGCUGUUGCAAUCACUUUUUGUCUGUCAACCGUUUGCUUGUACCUUGUGUGUUUAUCAUCUGACUGUUGUUCGUGAUGUUUUUUCAUUUUUUUCUUCUCUCAAACUCAUUUAACUGGUGGGCACCAAAAUGUGUUUCUGCUUUAUCUGAUGUCUACUAUAAAAGAGAGGCGAAAGAUAUCAAAAAGGAUAUUCAAACUCAAGCUGAAAAUGGCUUAAACGAAAAAGACUAAAAAGGCAAACAACAGCGUUAACGCUUCAAGUAUUGGAUACCUAAACUACAUAAGUGUCCUUACAAACAACGGUAUAUUGCUGGGUCAUUCAAGUGCUCCACGAAACCUCUUUCUAAAUUAUUAACAUCUAUUAUAUCAGCAAUCAAAGACGGGCUUCAAAGUUAUUGUGAAACUGCCUAUUCUAGAGGUGGCGUGAAUCAGAUGUGGAUACUUCAACAUUCGAAAGAUCUUUUAGAGUACAUACAAUCUAACUCUCUUUCAUCUUGUAACAGUAUUAAAACAUUUGACUUUUCUACUCUUUACACAAGUAUUCCACAUUCCAAACUAAAAGACAAAUUGAAAGAGUUGGUAUUACUUUGCUUCAUAAAAAAGAAUGGCCAACGAGAUACAAGUAUCUUGUCUAGGGAGGGAUAAAUCAUACUUUGUAAAGAUCACUCUGAUUCAACAAAAAAUUCACUGAACCGAUAUGACAAGAUGCUUGAUUUCUUGAUUGACAAAUUUUGAACGUUGAAAGGACGUGUUUUUCAACAGACUGUCGCAUCCCAAUGGGAACAAACUGUGCCCUCUACUUGCCGACUUGUUUCUUUAUUAUUAUGAGGCUGACUUCAUGCAGAAACUUCUUAGGAAGAAAGAUAAGAAGUUAGUAAUAUCCUACUUAACUCUACUUCGCUAUAUGAUGACGUUCUUCACAAACCAUUCAAAAUGGUGACUAUGUGGACGCAUCUACCAUCGAAUUGGAGAUAAAGGAUACUACAGAUACAGUUAAGCUUCAUUUUCUUGACUUACAUCUAGAAAUUGGCAAUAAGGGUCGGUUGAAAAAAACUUACGACAAAAAGAGAUGAUUUAGUUUUCCAAUUUAAACUUUCCAUUUCUAAGUAGCAACUUUCCAGCAGCACUGCAUACGGGGUAUAUAUCUCCCAAUUGAUACGAUAUUCCCGUGCUUGCAUUUCCUAUCAUGAUUUUCUUGAUAGAGGGUUACUGUUCACAAGGAAGCUAUUAAACCAAGAGUUCCAAAUGGUGAAGUUGAAAUCAUCCCAUCGUAAAUUUUGGUAAUGUAUACCAGUUAAAAAAGAAAAGAAAACAUAGAAGCCAAAAAGUAGUCAACAUGGCAUGUUCCAUAUACCCUGUAAAUUUCAGAAAACCCUGUGGACCCGUUUCACAGUUAUCGCCUUGACUGUUGAUUUUUUUAACUUUUAAAGGUGGUAUUGGAGUAUAAAUGAUUAAUGCAUAAUUGGUUCAUACUUUGCCAAAAUGUAAUUAAUAUAGUGAUAUGUUCAAUUCCUAAAAUUUGAUACCUUGUGUAGAUAGAGAUCCACGCUUAUUGCACGUUACGAAAUCUCGCAAGAACUGUUUAAGGGGUCUAUAGAUGGCAUCUUCCCAACCUUAAUUUUUGUUCGUAUUUAACAUACAUCAAAUGGCUGUCUAAAAAGCUCGCCCUCUAUCCAGAUCAAUAUUAUUAUAGAACCUAUAUAUCAUUCCUAUCAUGCACAUGUCUGAGAUAUAUAUAAACCAUAAGAAGGAAAGCAAAUAAAAAAAUAAAUUCUUCAUUGUUUCUAGCUUUUGUUUCUAUAGUAUUAAUGUUCUUUAUAUUUAUCAAGCUUAUCAUGUUUUAUUAUUUGUAGAUCUUCCAGAUUCAAAAACAUUUGAUGUCACUUUAAUGAUAACAUUACUGAGAAACCUGACAUCAAUUUCCCCUCCUGUUUGUGGAUUUGACAAAUUACCCCCUACCAUGGAAACAAUACCAGGUGCAGAUUUAGCCAGAAUCAAAUACUACAGGAACUAUAUGGCACAUCUGGGCGAUGGCAAAAUAGACACAUCCUUCUUCAAUACUGCUUGGAAUGAUAUAACUAGUGUAUGUAGUGCUAUUUGAUAAUUUAAUGCACCUUUGUGUUAUGUAUUAUCUCUGUUCAUUUAUGAAAUAAAGGGUGCAUUGACUUUUCUCAACGCAAAACUGCUUAACUUAAUUUUCAUGCUAGACCUUGACAUAUGUUGUGUGACAGUACAACCGAUAAUUGUUGGUUUUUUUUUCGGAAUUUUGAAUUUUGAAUGUCCAUAUUCACAAACUGGUUUAUUCUCACAUAAAAAUCAUAUCUCUAUUUUGCCGCUUUAAGGAAUUCUUACAAACAUUUGAUUAAUUACUAGGGAGUAAACCAGAAAACUAAAAAAAAAAUAUUAAAACGAUCACAAAAUGUAUUUGAUGAUAAAAAUGCUGAUGAUGAAGAGUAAAACAAUAAUGAUGAUGCAUCUUUGAAGGAGUAAACAUACCGGUAUAAAGCACAAGUAUCAGAAUUUCUUAUUUUUACUAAAUGUUUCAUAACUUAUGAAAAGGUAACAGUCUGCAAAAAGACAGUUUGCCCUACCAGACCACAUUAUCGACAUCUAGCACAUCCGUCUUUCUAUCAUGGUUCAAAAUUAAAAUAAGCGGUAUACUACGUUUGGCUUUAUUUGCUCUCAAUCAGCAAAUACCUAAUUUUCAAGCAAUACUUUACAGGCCAUUGAUAGAUUUGGUGGACAGCAGAUGAAGCAGGAGUGUGAUCAUCUGAAAACCGGACCUUUAGAUCAGACCAACCAAGAAAUAAUGCAAGAAAUAAAACGGUCUAAUGAUGAAAUCAGGGAUCUAAAGGCAUCAUUUGAAAGACUAAAGAUGUCACAUACUGAAAUAAAGAAAUCCCACAAAGUAUUACAAGAAGACCAUGCUGAUGUUUCAAGAAAACUUCAAAACCUAGAAACGUCUCAGAAGGACACAGUUCCAUGGAAUGUUAGAGGUAAUCAUUAGUACACUUUUUGGCUUAUUUGAAUCUUAAAAUAUGAUUUUCAUUUGACUCCUAUGAUUGACAUUGAAUAAUAAGGUUGUUAAUAAAAAAAAUCGAUGUAUCAUGAAACAGAUGAUAAAGGUAGAUAAUUGGUAUAGAACUAAAACAAUUGCAUGUAUUGCAUACUUUGACAGGAAUAGAUUAUCUUAGCCUUAUUUGGCACAACUUUUUGGAAUUUUCGGUCUUCAAUGCCAUUCAACUUUGUACUUGUUUAUCUUUUAAACUAUUUUGAUAUGAGCGUCACUGAUGAGUCUCAUGUAGACGAAACGCGCCUCUGGCGUAUUAAAUUAUAAUCCUGGUAUAAUUGAUAACUAUUGACGAAAUUGAGUGUUUCUAAUCCCUUUUUAGAAUCUAUAAUAAUAAGUUUCGGUAUACGAGUUAUUCUUUAAGCUAGAUGUUACGCAAAAUUGUCAGAUUUUAUCAUAGACUAUGAUUUGAAAAAAAAACCACUUUAGGUAUAAUACCAC